UACGUAGGUGGCGAGCGUUAUCCGGAAUUAUUGGGCGUAAAGAGCGCGCAGGUGGUUGAUUAAGUCUGAUGUGAAAGCCCACGGCUUAACCGUGGAGGGUCAUUGGAAACUGGUCGACUUGAGUGCAGAAGAGGGAAGUGGAAUUCCAUGUGUAGCGGUGAAAUGCGUAGAGAUGUGGAGGAACACCGAUGGCGAAGGCAGCCCCCUGGGUUAACACUGACGCUCAGGCACGAAAGCGUGGGGAGCAAACAGG
rnacentral:rRNA from 1 species